GGGCUACAGUUAAUGGAGUCACAAAGAGUCAGACAGGACUGAGCAACUUAGCAUGCAUGCACACAUCCUGGAAAGACAUGGAAAAGACCCAGAAAGGACCAAUUUUGCUCAUAAGAGUAAACAGAGUGGUUUACAGUGGUGGUACUUGGAUUUUCUGGAUCACCUUGGGCAUCUGAUGAAAACUAUAAACCUGUUCCCCCCAAAAUAGACAUAUACAGGACAACAAGAUUUUUCAUAUAAUUUCAGUAAGUCCAUUGACCCCAGGUUAAUAAUCCCUGUAUUAGAGGACAGCAUCACAUUAGGUCCAGCCAAGAGGGGACCCUGCCUUGUGCCUCAAGCUUUAAAGGGCUUCAUGUGGCGCAUAAUGUAGUCCUCCUGUACUGACACUCAUAUAUAUACUAAGAGAUAAUGGUUCUUUCCAUCUUCCUGGUGGCCAUGAUUGCCUACAGCCUUCCUGUCUCCUUCCUCCUAGCCCCACAGGUAUCACGGCCAAGUCCUGAUGUUCCUGAGCUCUCUGCCACUCCCCCCACCAACCCCGUACCGCCCAGUUCUCCAGUCCCUCCAUCUCUCUGUCCCACACUAGUCUGCCUGUUCCCAAUCUCCCCCUCACACCUGGUGGCCUGGCUUCUAGACAACAGGAGGUGGAGUGAACGCAGAGCCCUCCUAGGGCUGCCAGAACAGCCGCAGCAAGACAAGGACUGAGAGGCAGAGCCAUUCCCAGAGGCUGCCUUCUCCUUCUGCUCCAUCUUCCUCUUGGCUACCACCUGCCAGAUGGAUAAAGCAUUUCAGGGGCAGAAAGGUCUUGGAGUCCCACUGCAGAGCCAGCCUCCUUCCUCUGCUCUGUGAGAACUUAACAUAAUCGAAGGGAGUUCGCACUGAAGCCUGCUGCCAAGACUGUCCAAGAGAAGCAGACCCAUGAGAGCUCAUUUUGGGGUCCAGAUAGAUCUCUCCAAUCUCACUGAUCAAAAUGAAGGGCAUCCAGCUCAAUCUGAAUUUCAGAUAAACAAAGGAUCAUUUUUUACCUGGGGUCUGAAGAGGGCACAGGACACUUCCUGCUUCUCAAAGGAAAGUGUGAGCCAUUAAAAGCAAGUGCUUUUA